rnacentral:rRNA from 1 species
GAUGAACGCUGGCGGCGUGCCUAAUACAUGCCAGUCGAGCGAACAGACGAGGAGCUUGCUCCUCUGACGUUAGCGGCGGACGGGUGAGUAACACGUGGAUAACCUACCUAUAAGACUGGGAUAACUUCGGGAAACCGGAGCUAAUACCGGAUAAUAUAUUGAACCGCAUGGUUCAAUAGUGAAAGACGGUUUUGCUGUCACUUAUAGAUGGAUCCGCGCCGCAUUAGCUAGUUGGUAAGGUAACGGCUUACCAAGGCAACGAUGCUUAGCCGACCUGAGAGGGUGAUCGGCCACACUGGAACUGAGACACGGUCCAGACUCCUACGGGAGGCAGCAGUAGGGAAUCUUCCGCAAUGGGCGAAAGCCUGACGGAGCAACGCCGCGUGAGUGAUGAAGUUCUUCGGAUCGUAAAACUCUGUUAUUAGGGAAGAACAAAUGUGUAAGUAACUGUGCACGUCUUGACGGUACCUAAUCAGAAAGCCACGGCUAACUACGUG